rnacentral:tRNA from 1 species
GCUGUGGCUCAGCGGUAGAGUGCUCACCUAGCACAUGUGAGACCCUGGGUUCAAUCCUCAGCACCACA